rnacentral:rRNA from 1 species
GUCCACGCCCUAAACGAUGAUCACUCGAUGUGUGCGAUACACUGUAUGCGUCUGAGCGAAAGCAUUAAGUGAUCCACCUGGGGAGUACGACCGCAAGGUUGAAACUCAAAGGAAUUGACGGGGGGCCCGCACAAGCGGAGGAGCAUGUGGUUUAAUUCGAUGAUACGCGAGGAACCUUACCAGGGCUUGAAAGUUAGUGAAGGAUGUGGAAAACAUGUCCGUCAGCAAUGACACGAAACUAGGUGCUGCAUGGCUGUCGU